GGCAUCGUAGUGUAGCGGUCCUAUCACAUCGGAUUUUGAUGUGUCACGUGCCUGAUGGAUCACGUGCCAUCACGUGAUCCAAAUUCCGAUAACCCAGGUUCGAGUCCUGGUGACGCCU
rfam:Jaapia argillacea MTCL 33604 unplaced genomic scaffold JAAARscaffold_14, whole genome shotgun sequence.